rnacentral:lncRNA from 1 species
CCCAACAUUACCAUUAUUUGAGAUGGCUGAAUCUGCAUGUUCGCCGUUCUGUAAUGUUUUACGUUUCGUUGCUGUAACGAACUAUAAUUUACAAAUAGCGAGUAAUUUUUGACUACUUUUUUAAAAAGUAGCUGUCAGUGCCUUUUUAAGGAAUUUACCGGGGGGGGGGCAAAAGAAAAAAUUUUCAAGACAGCAAAAAUGUCGGACGUCACGUUUUGAAAAAUUUGUUGAAUUUGAAAUUGCUAUUAUCAACAAACCGUCGAAAAGCGGAAAAUUAUCGUAAAAAUGUCGUGAAAAAAUUUCCUUUGGAAAUAACCUUUAUUUUGACACGAUGGCUUUGGUUAAAUUUGCUCGCAGCUCACAUCUGAUUAUAGGUCCACUAGCGGCUCGCAACUGAUCAAUCCAGAUCACUCGCUACGCGUAGGAAUUUGAUACAAGUUUUCCAACAUGGGAAGUAAACAAUUUAACAUGUUCUGCUUUUAUUUUUCUAAGAAUGGACAACUAAUAGACGUCCAAUGAAGAUCUUUCAAUUUUAUGUGACUAAAAUUUAAAAUCUAUUAAAAUAACUAAAAUUGUUGGGUGAUGCAUUAUCUGUCUGAAGGCCAAUUUACACUACACAACUUUUGCCCAAAGCCUGGUUUCCAUAUGGUCGUAACGGUCGUAAAGAUUGAGUCACAAUCUUUUUCAGCAGCCGAAUGUAUAAUUUCAAUGUGGUUUAUAGGUAAAAACUAUUAGCCUCUUCCCAAUCAGUGCGUUUUCCCGACUGCAUGAUUUACUUUCACCUCGGCCGGCUACAAAACUCAAAAGCCGUGUCGAAGUGAGCUGUGAUGUUUCCUGACAAAACAAGAAACGUCUACUAUUAUUUAAGCUGUAGUUUUCCUUGUACAGUAUUUAUUAGUGCAGAUAUCUGAUGAAAUACUAG